rnacentral:tRNA from 1 species
CGCUAGGAAGCUAAAUUAUUGGACAAGCGUUGGCCUUUUAAGCCAAAGACUGGUGAUUCCCGACCACCCCUAGUGA